GGUCAUCCCGACUUACCAACCCGAUGCAAACUGCGAAUACCGGAGAAUGUUAUCACGGGAGACACACGGCGGGUGCUAACGUCCGUCGUGAAGAGGGAAACAACCCAGACCGCCAGCUAAGGUCCCAAAGUCAUGGUUAAGUGGGAAACGAUGUGGGAAGGCCCAGACAGCCAGGAUGUUGGCUUAGAAGCAGCCAUCAUUUAAAGAAAGCGUAAUAGCUCACUGGUCGAGUCGGCCUGCGCGGAAGAUGUAACGGGGCUAAACCAUGCACCGAAGCUGCGGCAGCGACGCUUAUGCGUUGUUGGGUAGGGGAGCGUUCUGUAAGCCUGCGAAGGUGUGCUGUGAGGCAUGCUGGAGGUAUCAGAAGUGCGAAUGCUGACAUAAGUAACGAUAAAGCGGGUGAAAAGCCCGCUCGCCGGAAGACCAAGGGUUCCUGUCCAACGUUAAUCGGGGCAGGGUGAGUCGACCCCUAAGGCGAGGCCGAAAGGCGUAGUCGAUGGGAAACAGGUUAAUAUUCCUGUACUUGGUGUUACUGCGAAGGGGGGACGGAGAAGGCUAUGUUGGCCGGGCGACGGUUGUCCCGGUUUAAGCGUGUAGGCUGGUUUUCCAGGCAAAUCCGGAAAAUCAAGGCUGAGGCGUGAUGACGAGGCACUACGGUGCUGAAGCAACAAAUGCCCUGCUUCCAGGAAAAGCCUCUAAGCAUCAGGUAACAUCAAAUCGUACCCCAAACCGACACAGGUGGUCAGGUAGAGAAUACCAAGGCGCUUGAGAGAACUCGGGUGAAGGAACUAGGCAAAAUGGUGCCGUAACUUCGGGAGAAGGCACGCUGAUAUGUAGGUGAAGUCCCUUGCGGAUGGAGCUGAAAUCAGUCGAAGAUACCAGCUGGCUGCAACUGUUUAUUAAAAACACAGCACUGUGCAAACACGAAAGUGGACGUAUACGGUGUGACGCCUGCCCGGUGCCGGAAGGUUAAUUGAUGGGGUCAGCGCAAGCGAAGCUCUUGAUCGAAGCCCCGGUAAACGGCGGCCGUAACUAUAACGGUCCUAAGGUAGCGAAAUUCCUUGUCGGGUAAGUUCCGACCUGCACGAAUGGCGUAAUGAUGGCCAGGCUGUCUCCACCCGAGACUCAGUGAAAUUGAACUCGCUGUGAAGAUGCAGUGUACCCGCGGCAAGACGGAAAGACCCCGUGAACCUUUACUAUAGCUUGACACUGAACAUUGAGCCUUGAUGUGUAGGAUAGGUGGGAGGCUUUGAAGUGUGGACGCCAGUCUGCAUGGAGCCGGCCUUGAAAUACCACCCUUUAAUGUUUGAUGUUCUAACGUGGACCCGUGAUCCGGGUUGCGGACAGUGUCUGGUGGGUAGUUUGACUGGGGCGGUCUCCUCCUAAAGAGUAACGGAGGAGCACGAAGGUUGGCUAAUCCUGGUCGGACAUCAGGAGGUUAGUGCAAUGGCAUAAGCCAGCUUGACUGCGAGCGUGACGGCGCGAGCAGGUGCGAAAGCAGGUCAUAGUGAUCCGGUGGUUCUGAAUGGAAGGGCCAUCGCUCAACGGAUAAAAGGUACUCCGGGGAUAACAGGCUGAUACCGCCCAAGAGUUCAUAUCGACGGCGGUGUUUGGCACCUCGAUGUCGGCUCAUCACAUCCUGGGGCUGAAGUAGGUCCCAAGGGUAUGGCUGUUCGCCAUUUAAAGUGGUACGCGAGCUGGGUUUAGAACGUCGUGAGACAGUUCGGUCCCUAUCUGCCGUGGGCGCUGGAGAACUGAGGGGGGCUGCUCCUAGUACGAGAGGACCGGAGUGGACGCAUCACUGGUGUUCGGGUUGUCAUGCCAAUGGCACUGCCCGGUAGCUAAAUGCGGAAGAGAUAAGUGCUGAAAGCAUCUAAGCACGAAACUUGCCCCGAGAUGAGUUCUCCCUGACCCUUUAAGGGUCCUGAAGGAACGUUGAAGACGACGACGUUGAUAGGCCGGGUGUGUAAGCGCAGCGAUGCGUUGAGCUAACCGGUACUAAUGAACCGUGAG
rnacentral:rRNA from 1 species